CUCCUCGCGGGAGGGUGUCAGGAUGUUCCCGUGUCCCCUCGAGCUUUGCCCGCCCCGAACUCAGCUGUUCCCGGCGGCCAGAACGGAGGGGUAGAGUAGUUCUCGGCGGCCCGGGGGGCGGGCGGCCGUGCCCAGCCCGGGGCCGCGCGAGACACAAAGCCCUAUGCGCUGUCCUUCCCGGGAGCUCUGACCACCGCCCUUUUCCCUCCGCAGGCCGACCCACCCGAGCCGGUCGCCACUGUCCAGCCGUGCUGCUUCCUCGGACACAAGCAGGUUGAAAACUACAAAAAAGAAACUCGUGAGUUGAAUGGCUCCAAGGUGAAGUACUCAUGCAUGUAGUGACCAGUCCUGCGUGUAUCCCACCUUAGGAUUAGUGGCAAAGUUGAAGCAGGGGUAGCCGAAGUGAGCUGCUAUUUUGCAGGGGUAGAGGCCAUAAAGGAAGCAGAAUAGUUUUAAACUGCUCACCGCUCCUUGAGGUCCAUUUUACAAGUGAAGGAUUGGGGCCACGUGAUUAUCCUUGAAUGGCCUAGUAGUAACUGAUUACACUGAAGGUAAUUUCAAUGUACUAGGAUCCUGCCCCCACCCCUUCUGUAUGUCUGAAUCAGAUCCACAUGACUACGACAUACUGGGCCUUUUAAAGGUUCAAACAACAAAAAAAUAGAUUCCCUGCUAGAUGGUUAGAAUAUUUGUAUCUGGCCUACGUGCUAGGACAAGUUCUUGGCUAGUAACCAGUCGUGUGCUAGCAAUCUAGGUGUUUUAGCUGUGUAUUGUUGCCUGUGAGUAAUUUUCCACAAUGUUAAAUAAAGGCUUUUCCUGUGUCAA